rnacentral:rRNA from 1 species
AACGUAGGAGGCGAGCGUUACUCGGAUUCACUGGGCGUAAAGGGUGCGCAGGCGGUGAUGUAUGUCAGGUGUGAAAUCCCGGGGCUUAACUCCGGAAGUGCGCCUGAAACUGCAUUACUAGAGGCUUGGAGGGGACAGCAGAAUUUCUGGUGUAGCGGUGAAAUGCGUAGAUAUCAGAAGGAAUACCAAUGGCGAAGGCAGCUGUCUGGACAAGAUCUGACACUCAUGCACGAAAGCGUGGGGAGCAAACAGG